rnacentral:rRNA from 1 species
ACCCGUGCGCCCGGUCGUGCUGGGCUGGGCAAAUAAUAAUAAAAAAGGUUAAAAAAAAUAUAUGUACUGGAUUUAAUCUCAGGUUAUCCGGAUUUUAUGUUGGGUUAUUCGAUUUUUUUUCACUGGGUCACACGAUUUGCACGGUGCCCGGCGGGGUAAAUUAUUAGUCCGGCACAGACCCGGUUCUUCGUCGCGGCCACCCGGCCGUGCCGUGCCGGCAGAUAAUUUGCACGGUGCUGCCCGGCACGGCAAACCGGUCCAGACGGGGUUGGGGUAGGGAGGGGCAGAAGGAGGAGGUCAGGAGGAAACCGGACGGGAAAUAUUUUCGGUUGUUGAUGGGGCACCGUGUGGCAACGAAGGAGAGGGAAAGGUAAAGGAAGGAACAGGAAAGGAGGUUAGCUUAACCAAGGGGUUUAGAAUCCCAAUCCCAAAGCAGAUAAGGCAUGGAAGGAGGGUAUAAUCGCGCAGACCAGGGACUCGAACGAAACGCGCACCCUACUACCCGUGACGGCACCUGGAUCCUGCCUCCGUCCCGCUGUCGGCGAAGAUGCUGCGACGGUCCCGAGCUGCUCCCGUGGUAGUGCCGGAAGGGUUCAGCUCCACGCGUCGGCGGCGGCAAUGGGUCCUCUUCCGCGGCCUCCUCGGGAGGGCCGACGGUCGCAGGGGGCAUCCUCAACGUCCGUUGGAGUUCUCCAAGCACCGUCGGCAAUGCGACAGGCACGGCCGCCUCAUGGGGAGGCUCUCUCCUCUCACCUCCCCAACGCCGCACCUACGGUUGGCCCUCUCCGGGAUGAAGCAAGAACUGCUGGAUACCCUCCGCAUAUUCCUCACCUCACGCAUACCACGGCCCCACGGCGAGCAAGAACUGCCCACGCUGCCCCAGCACGUCAUGAUACACGGAAUGAACAGGCGGUAGCUCGAGAUACCUCUGAGUAGUCAGGACGUCAGUAGAAGGUUGGGUUCUGUAUACUACCUGCUGUCACUACUUCUAAAGGCACUAAGGUCGUCACUACCAUCGUCACUAAUACUUGUACAUUCCCGGUUUGUGAAACGAGUCCUUCCGAAGAGUUCCCUACAACCACUUAGACCUCAAUGAGUACCGGCGAACGAGAAAGUCAUGGAGCUCAAACUAAGAGGCAAAACGGCACUUGGAAAGUGACUAUUCUAAAGAUCGGAAAGUCGAUCUAAAGGUCCUAACUCCUGGGAAUCCUCAACACUAAAUAGUCGCGCCUCAACCUACUCGUAGCGAACCAUGGGUUAAAUAGCAUAGGGAUGACCUGGUUGUAAUUUUCUAAAUCUACGGACGAAAGAGUGAAAGGUAGUCGAAAGUUUAACGGGCGUUCCUCUAUUAGACACCCGAGGACUAUCGUGUGGUUUGUAUGGUGAGGGUCAAAAACCAAACCGAAGGAUGUUCAAAUCGUUGAGUCAGACCAGGAGUUGACUACCACUAACCUUUGACCGAUCGACGAAUUCCGUUCGACGACGGCUGACCGACUCUCUGUCGGCACGGCCGGUAGGUCUAAUAGUCAAGAAACAGAGGGCACCACGUAUGUUGUCCAUCACUGUGGUUUAGACACGAAAGGCGUCUCGAGUACUUUCUUACAGGCUUCUCACAGAACACUUGUACUAAUUCAAGACUCACUGACUGACCAACUGACGAAGGUUUAGAGUACGUACAAUGGUGUUCUAAACUUCGAACCUACCACUCUUCAUUGGACAGGACGAAACAUUUAACGUGAUAAUCCAUCUAAAGCUGGCAGAUACAAAAAUAUGUACAUCAGUCAACCAGACACCCUUCGACCAGACUCUUACUUUUUUUCCUUUUUUCUUUUCUCUUCUUUACUUUUUUCCACCACUUUUUCGAACGUGAAAUACAUUAUGUUUAUCAUACCCCUGUUUAAAACUACUUUUGUGGGGAGUAACAGGCAUGUGUAUAGUUCACAACGACCGUAACCUCAUACACAACUUCUUUUGAACAUGAGGGAGGGUUUCAUUCACAGAGUUAAAACACGAUUUCAAUCAUGUUUCAACUCUGUGAAUAAAACUCUGUCUCCCUCAUCAAUCGUACAACAGUACCACAUGUACAUUUGUACACUUGACGAGACACACUAUCUAACACAAGGAUCAGGUACUAUAAUGGAACCAGAGUUUGGUGCUCAUAGAUACAUUCGAUUCAAUUACAGGACCAUUGACCUUCUAAUGAUUUUAGUCCGAUUUCGAUUUCGAUGUUCGUGAGUUUUACUCACAAAUUUUCCAUCUCUGUUUAUCUCUGGGUUGCUACUUCUCAUUUUUGACAGCUUUUAAGCAUAGGUUCGUACGCGAGUCUACGAGUCAAUAGUGGAGGGUAGACAAGCGAAACUGUUCCCGUGGCACAGAUCAUCAAAAUCAUAAGGACAGUUAUUCACUCAUACGGGGUGGUGUGUUAUUGAUGUGACUAUCGUGUGAUAACUAACCUCACUAAUUAGAGAUACAUAAACGUAAAACGUCGUAUGUAGGUUGGCUACGACCUUUUUCUCCAGCGCCGUCAAAGGGGAAGAGGAGAGAAGGUGGCGGGGAAAACUCUCAGCGAGUAGGGGCCGACCGGGCUAGACUACGGAGCAGGCAGCCGCUGCGACCGACCGCUACCGACGACCUUUUUCUCCAGCGCCGUCAAAGGGGAAGAGGAGAGAAGGUGGCGGGGGAAAACUCUCAGUGAGUAGGGGCCGGCCGGGCUAGACCACGGAGCAGGCAGCCGCUACGACCGACCGCUACCGACUCCUCUCCAGGGACCAAGAAGGUAUACAUAUAAUCUCAUCGUCAUCUGAAUCAAUCUGAACCGAAAUACGGCACCACACCGGAGUACGGUCAGCCCUAUGGACGACGAUCUGGAACACUCGUCUCAGACCACCACCGACACUAAGUGUGAAUAUAAACUCGAAUUUCAGACUCACAUAUGGCUUAAUCCGAAAAGGAAGCUAGCCAAAUACAGUCUCAAGUGUGAUGUUGUGUGUAAAAGAAAACUCAGAAGACACUCAAUGAAAACUUGGCUAUGUGGUUUAGUCCGCAAUGUGGCGAGUUUGUUUGAUCUUCUUUUAGCAGUUACCUAAAUAGUGUUAUAAUAUUUUUAUGUUUAUUUACAUAUGUGUUAAAAAAUUGUUAUUUACAAUAGUUUCUAACUACAUAAAUGGAGAGGGUUCUAUCAUUGUACAAGAUCUUCUACACAAAACAACGUCAUCAUGGAUUUACCACUUAACGUACAAGAUCUUAUAUCCGAAAACGUAUAACGUUAGUUAAAUAAAUAAAUACCUUAACUCAAAGACCAACAUUGAACAAGCUUGUAAACAAAUUUCCCUUGUUUUAUGAGGUAUACAAACAGAAGUUAAUUACCUAUUAUUAUUAUGUGAACGAAAACACUCUACCAUAGAAUUCGUAUUUAUUAUUUCCGUAAGUUCACAAUAAUAGUAAACAUUACGUCUCGUGUUAUUUCUCAAAUUACAAAAACAUCGGGGAAGAAAUAAAACACUUAGUCUAUACUAUCCAGAAAGAUAAUAUGCCAGCUAAAAAAUAGCUUUAUGUAACGUUCACUUCCCCUAAAAUUUAGUAAAAACACACAAUAACCGAUAGAAAAGACAAGUAUAAUUUAAGCUGUACGUUGGUCAUGUUUAAAAUGUUUCGGGUACCGUUGCGUGCCCGACAGUUGAUCACAUAUAAUCUCAUCGUCAUCUGAAUCAAUCUGAACCGAAAUACGGCACCACACCGGAGUACGGUCAGCCCUAUGGACGACGAUCUGGAACACUCGUCUCAGACCACCACCGGCAGCAACAGAGGAUGGAGCGGAGGUACCACCUCCCCUGACCACCUGUAGCCUAGACCGUCAUAGGGAGGGUUAUUCGAGUGCAGACGGGUUGCAGAUCCUCGACGCCACCGAGGAAGGAGACAAAGAACGGCAGCACCUGAGCACCACUACCGUCGUCUUUCCACCUCUCUAGAGCGGAGCGGAGGAGAGCACCACGACCCGGAGCGGCCUAGGCUCGAAGGCCGCAUCCACCACAAUAGGGGCGUAGACCCUUUCCCGAAGGCCAUAGAGCAACCUUCGACCACUACCCCUAGGAUUCGAGUAAGCUACCACCUAGACCUCCUCGAUGCCGUAGCCAGAGGAGGUUGUUAGGUAGCUAAGGAGACCGGCUUCCCGCUGGUAGGAACAAGGAGGGUCGGUGCUACGGUCUUCCCUCCGUCACGACACGGUUUAACCUCAGACACCGAACGAUGUCUCCAGAGCGCCCUGGUUCACCAGGCAGGGGUCGCGGCCGCUACUAACAUAGGUGACGCCGCGUCGCACCUGGGCUAGCGUAAAAGUCAAAAUACAAACCCCAGGAAAGAUAUUCUACGCCCCUGAACAAAAAUAAAAGUCAAAGAAAUCACAGGAACAACAUUCGACAUUACAGAGAAGCAGUAUCAGUUACUUCACAACCCAGGAAGAC